CUCUCGCUUCUAACCUCCCUCCCACCCUCCACCACUCCCUCCCACCCUCCACCACUCCCUCCCACAAUCCAUCACUCCCUCCAACACGCCGGACGAUUCACCUGAUCCUCCUCCUCCUCGCAGUGAAGCUAAAUUAACGACGAUCUGCCAGCAACAGAUCCAGUUAUUGCAGAAAGACUGGGUGUGUCCACGACAACUCGCAGAGACAAUCUGUACACAAGUGAGAGACCAAGAGGGAGGUGCAUACUGCUGCUGUAGUGAGAGAGACGAUGAUUUCCUGCAGGUGGGGAGGUUAUCCUCUGAAGAGGACCUCCUGGGGAGGUUGGCCUCUGAGGAGGAGGCUGUACCUGAGCCUGGCCUCCACCACCCUCCUUCUGGCCAACCUCUGUAUCUACCUCCUGCAUCACACCUCCAGUUUUAGGCCUAAGGUGUCUGGGUCGUCUUGGAAUACCUCGGUGACCGGUGAGAGGUCGUGGAGGUCGUCGUGGAGGUCGUCAGAGGUCGUGGUCACACCUAACACGACCCUCUCAGACAGCCUUCUGAAGACUCAGGUACUAUCAGGUCAUCUUC